UACAUUAGCCACUUUAAGUGUCUCAUUCACAGCACGAAAUAACAGUCACACUGCUGUCCAGCCACCAUGACCACCGCUUCCGGGGUGCUCUCAUCGCAAUGGCAGGCCCGUGUGCAUCCCACACUGGUACCCUGCCGUUCACCAUGCCCCAGAAGGCCAUGCUCAGUAUAUGACCUUGUGUUCCAGUCCUCGAGUCCAGAGCCUGAACUCUGCUUGAAAUCUGCUCUACACUGAACCCCAGCCCUGAAGCUCAAUACCUAACGAUUCACAGACAGAGCCUUUGGAGAGAAAGUUGAGUGGCUACGAGGACACCUCCUCAAUCAACCUGACUGGUGUCCUUUGGAGUGGAGGUCUGAGGAAAGACACACAGGAAGGCAAGGGUGAAAACGUGCUGGGCCGACACGGUCCGCUCACCUCAGACUUCCGCUGUCUACAGCUCAGAGAGAUGGGAGUUCUGCCCUGAACCCCAGUCAUCCCAGCUCUUGGCUAUGAACUUCAAGAAACGAGAGGAAAGACUUGCAGGAUGUGCCUUCUGAUUUUAAACUCUAACACCCGGGCUUCGUGCACUUCCCUGCGCUGGCAAAACCUUCUCUAUUUUUCAACCUUGACCUCGCAUUUGUAAAAUGGGUCAUCUGGAGGGGAACGGAGGAGAGGGAAGUUGUAGAAAUUGCACAUCCCUCACAGGGCCGUUGAAAGGUUCCCGAACACAGAGCUGACUGGAGACGGGACAAACUCACA
rnacentral:lncRNA from 1 species